rnacentral:rRNA from 1 species
AGCGAACGCUGGCGGCAGGCCCAACACAUGCAAGUCGAACGCCUGUAGCAAUACAGGAGUGGCAGACGGGUGAGUAACACGUGGGAACGUGCCCUUCAGUUCGGAAUAACUCAGGGAAACUUGGGCUAAUACCGGAUACGUCCGCGAGGAGAAAGAUUCAUCGCCGAAGGAUCGGCCCGCGUCCGAUUAGCUAGUUGGUGGGGUAAUGGCUCACCAAGGCGACGAUCGGUAGCUGGUCUGAGAGGAUGAUCAGCCACACUGGGACUGAGACACGGCCCAGACUCCUACGGGAGGCAGCAGUGGGGAAUAUUGGACAAUGGGCGCAAGCCUGAUCCAGCCAUGCCGCGUGGGUGAUGAAGGCCCUAGGGUUGUAAAGCCCUUUCGGCGGGGAAGAUAAUGACGGUACCCGCAGAAGAAGCCCCGGCUAACUUCGUGCCAGCCGCCGCGGUAAUAC